rnacentral:rRNA from 1 species
AUUGAACGCUGGCGGAAUGCUUUACACAUGCAAGUCGAACGGUAGAGGGGGCAACCCCUUGAGAGUGGCGAACGGGUGAGUAAUAUAUCGGAACGUGCCCAGUCGUGGGGAUAACGUAGCGAAAGUUACGCUAAUACCGCAUACGAUCUAAGGAUGAAAGCGGGGGACUCGCAAGAGCCUCGCGCGAUUGGAGCGGCCGAUAUCAGAUUAGGUAGUUGGUGGGGUAAAGGCUCACCAAGCCAACGAUCUGUAGCUGGUCUGAGAGGACGACCAGCCACACUGGAACUGAGACACGGUCCAGACUCCUACGGGAGGCAGCAGUGGGGAAUUUUGGACAAUGGACGCAAGUCUGAUCCAGCCAUUCCGCGUGCAGGAUGAAGGCCCUCGGGUUGUAAACUGCUUUUGUACGGAACGAAAAGGUUUCUAUUAAUACUAGGAGCUCAUGACGGUACCGUAAGAAUAAGCACCGGCUAACUAACGUGCCAGCAGCCGCGGUAA